rnacentral:misc_RNA from 1 species
AAGUCGUAACAAGGUCUCUGUUAGUAAACUAGCGGAGAGAUCAUUACAGAGUUGCACAACUCGCUAAACCAUUGUAAACCCUACCUCCCUGUUGCUUCGGUGGGAGGUACCCUCGUCGCCUUAUAAUAGGCUGCUCAUAGGGUGCCCCUAGGCCCCGCGUAGGCGCCUGCUGGAAUAAUUUUAGAAUCUCUUGACAGUAUAUAGCUUCUCUAAGUCUUACUAAAUAAGUCAAAACUUUUAACAACGGAUCUCUUGGUUCUA